rnacentral:rRNA from 1 species
GAUGAACGCUGGCGGCGUGCCUAAUACAUGCAAGUCGAGCGAACAGAUAAGGAGCUUGCUCCUUUGACGUUAGCGGCGGACGGGUGAGUAACACGUGGAUAACCUACCUAUAAGACUGGGAUAACUUCGGGAAACCGGAGCUAAUACCGGAUAACAUAUUGAACCGCAUGGUUCAAUAGUGAAAGGCGGCUUUGCUGUCACUUAUAGAUGGAUCCGCGCCGUAUUAGCUAGUUGGUAAGGUAACGGCUUACCAAGGCAACGAUACGUAGCCGACCUGAGAGGGUGAUCGGCCACACUGGAACUGAGACACGGUCCAGACUCCUACGGGAGGCAGCAGUAGGGAAUCUUCGGCAAUGGGCGAAAGCCUGACGGAGCAACGCCGCGUGAGUGAUGAAGGUCUUCGGAUCGUAAAACUCUGUUAUCAGGGAAGAACAAAUGUGUAAGUAACUGUGCACAUCUUGACGGUACCUGAUCAGAAAGCCACGGCUAACUACGUG